UGGGUAGGGUUGGAAGGGAAGAAAUAAUGAUGUUGAUGGGGGAUUUGGGACUAAAAGUACCUUUGUUGAGAAGUGAAAGGAGAAGAAGAGUGAUUAAUAGCAAUGAUUGUCAUUGGGGAAAAUAUUUUUUUGAUGAUGAUGUAGAACUAAAAUGCUACCUCUUCCGUAUAUGAAGAGUAAUUUAAAGAGAAAUGUACUUGUAUUUGUGAAAAUGCAGGGGGUGGUGUAGUAAUUUGUGAAAUGGAAGGUGGUCCUCAUCUUCGGCGACAAUGGUGGUAGAAGAAAGUGUUGUGAAUUGAGAUGUUUUAAGAAUUUGGGGAUGUUGAAGUAUUUGGUGAAAUGGAGAUUGGACCAUCCUCCUCAAUGGCGGUGUCAAUGGUGGCGACGGUGUUGAUGGUAGUAGUGAUCGGAGAAGAUGAAGAAGAUGAGCUAUGGAUGGGAAGGGUGAACUGGCAUGGAGUGGGGG
rnacentral:lncRNA from 1 species